AGCGUUGUCCGGAAUUAUUGGGCGUAAAGAGCUCGUCGGCGGCCUGUUGCGUCCGCUGUGAAAUCCCGGGGCUCAACCCCGGGCGUGCAGUGGAUACGGGCUGGCUGGAGGCAGGCAGGGGAGAACGGAAUUCCUGGUGUAGCGGUGAAAUGCGCAGAUAUCAGGAGGAACACCGGUGGCGAAGGCGGUUCUCUGGGCCUGUACUGACGCUGAGGAGCGAAAGCGUGGGGAGCGAACAGG
rnacentral:rRNA from 1 species